rnacentral:tRNA from 1 species
GCGCUCGUAGCUCAGUGGAUAGAGCAUCAGCUUGCGGAGCUGAGGGUCGUAGGUUCGAGUCCUAUCGAGCGCGCCA